rnacentral:rRNA from 1 species
CCUACGGGAGGCAGCAGUGAGGAAUAUUGGUCAAUGGGCGUAAGCCUGAACCAGCCAAGUCGCGUGAGGGAUGAAGGUUCUAUGGAUCGUAAACCUCUUUUAUAAGGGAAUAAAGUGUGGGACGUGUCCUAUUUUGUAUGUACCUUAUGAAUAAGGAUCGGCUAACUCCGUGCCAGCAGCCGCGGUAAUACGGAGGAUCCGAGCGUUAUCCGGAUUUAUUGGGUUUAAAGGGAGCGUAGGUGGGUUUUUAAGUCAGCGGUGAAAGUUUGUGGCUCAACCAUAGAAUUGCCGUUGAAACUGGGGGGCUUGAGUAUGUUUGAGGCAGGCGGAAUGCGUGGUGUAGCGGUGAAAUGCUUAGAUAUCACGCAGAACCCCGAUUGCGAAGGCAGCCUGCCAAGCCAUGACUGACGCUGAUGCACGAAAGCGUGGGGAUCAAACAGGAUUAGAUACCCUUGUAGUC